rnacentral:tRNA from 1 species
UAGUAAAAUUACCAUUUUUUU